rnacentral:rRNA from 1 species
GGUUCUGGCAUCGAUGAAGAACGCAGCGAAAUGCGAUAAGUAGUGUGAAUUGCAGAAUUCAGUGAAUCAUCGAAUCUUUGAACGCACAUUGCGCCCCUUGGUAUUCCAUGGGGCAUGCCUGUUCGAGCGUCAUUUGUACCCUCAAGCUCUGCUUGGUGUU